UAAACAUGAGUUGUACUCUGUAGAGAGCCU
rnacentral:piRNA from 1 species